CCAAACUCCUUAAGACUGAUAAUGGACCAGC
rnacentral:piRNA from 1 species